rnacentral:rRNA from 1 species
UACAUACUGUGCGAACGUUAUUCGGAUUCACUGGGCUUAAAGGGUGCGUAGGCGGCUUGUUAAGUGGGGUGUGAAAGCCCCCAGCUCAACUGGGGAACUGCACUCUAUACUGGCGAGCUGGGGUGAGAUAGGGGUGUGUGGAACUGCCAGUGGAGCGGUGAAAUGUGUUGAUAUUGGCAGGAACGCCGGUGGCGAAAGCGACACACUGGGUCUCAACUGACGCUGAGGCACGAAAGCCAGGGGAGCGAACGGG